rnacentral:rRNA from 1 species
GGAAUAUUGGUCAAUGGACGCAAGUCUGAACCAGCCAUGCCGCGUGAAGGAUGAAGGUCCUCUGGAUUGUAAACUUCUUUUAUCUGGGACGAAACCCAGGCAUUCUUGCCUGAUUGACGGUACCAGAGGAAUAAGCACCGGCUAACUCCGUGCCAGCAGCCGCGGUAAUACGGAGGGUGCAAGCGUUAUCCGGAUUCACUGGGUUUAAGGGGUGCGUAGGAGGGCAGGUAAGUCAGUGGUGAAAUCCCCGUGCUUAACAUGGGAACUGCCGUUGAUACUAUCUGUCUUGAAUGCCGUGGAGAUGAGCGGAAUAUGUCAUGUAGCGGUGAAAUGCUUAGAUAUGACAUAGAACACCGAUUGCGAAGGCAGCUCGUUACACGAACAUUGACUCUGAGGCACGAAAGCGUGGGGAUCAAAC